ACAUACGACCGCAGGGUGUGGAGAACAGGGCCUCCCGUCAGCACAGCGGUACUUGAGGAACACACCGGUAGGGUAGUAAUAUGUUGAGUAAGCAGAUGCGAAUCCCUACUGUUGUAUCUU
rnacentral:rRNA from 1 species